rnacentral:lncRNA from 1 species
GACAUCAUGCUAGCCUCUGGGGACAGAGAGUUACACAAAAUAUGACUCUCACCUUUAAAAGAUCAUAGUCUUUCUGGAGGUGUGGAAACUAUGAGCAGAGAGAUAGUAAUGCCAGGGACAGCAUCAGAAUUUGUAGAACUCUGUCUUAUCUGGGUGCAGAUACGUGAGCCCCAGCUACUGUUCCAGCACCGUGUCUGCCUGCCUUCUUCCAUGUUUCCUGCCAUGAUGGUCAUGGACUCUGAAACUAUUGGAACCUGAAGAGGAGAACCAAGCCGUUCCUUGGAAGUUCCAGUGGCUAUGCCGUGGGAGGACCUGACCGGCAGCGAGGGAUGCUGCUCUGUAGGAGAACCCUUGUUGGAGGCUGAACUAUGACCGCUUAUUUCAAGGGCUCUUGCUAUUCAGUUUGGUCCCUACCUUUUUUUUUUUCCUGGACUAAUCAAUCUCUCCUUCAAUUAUGCUGGUGUAAAUUGCAUUUCUGUUCCUAGCAGCCCCAGUAACAGAACUGAUGAGGCCUGUCUAAUGCUCCCUGCCCCCAAGGUCCUCCUUUCAGUAUAUGAAUGAUAACUCCUUUCCUCCUCAUCUUUUUUUGUGACCCCUAAACAUCGACAGUCUAAUUUGAUUAAAUGGCUAGUUACUCAU